rnacentral:rRNA from 1 species
UCGGGAAUCUUGCACAAUGGGCGAAAGCCUGAUGCAGCAACGCCGUGUGAGCGAGGAAGGCCUUCGGGUCGUAAAGCUCUGUUGUUGGGGACGAAGGGCGAAGGGUUAAUAGCCCCUAGCCUGACGGUACCCUUCGAGGAAGCCCCGGCUAACUACGUGCCAGCAGCCGCGGUAAUACGGAGGGUCCAAGCGUUGUCCGGAAUCACUGGGUGUAAAGGGUGCGCAGGCGGGCGUGUAAGUCAGGGGUGAAAGCCACCGGCCUAACCGGUGAACUGCCCUUGAUACUGCACGUCUUGAGUCCCGGAGAGGCUAUCGGAAUUCGUGGUGUAGCGGUGAAAUGCGUAAAUAUCACGAGGAACACCUAAUGCGUAGGCAGAUAGCUGGACGGGUACUGACGCUCAGGCACGAAAGCGUGGGUAGCGAACAGGAUUAGAUACCCCUGUAGUCC